GACGAACGCUGGCGGCGUGCUUAACACAUGCAAGUCGAACGCGCCUGUCCUCUGGGUUUCUGGGGGGUGGGUGAGUGGCGAACGGGUGAGUAACACGUGAGUAACCUGCCCCCUUCUUCGGGAUACGGUCUGAAAGGGCUGCUAAUACCGGGUAUUCACUGGUCUCCGCAUGGGGUCUGGUGGAAAGGUUUUUUUCUGGUGGGGGAUGGGCUCGCGGCCUAUCAGCUUGUUGGUGGGGUGAUGGCCCACCAAGGCUUUGACGGGUAGCCGGCCUGAGAGGGUGACCGGUCACAUUGGGACUGAGAUACGGCCCAGACUCCUACGGGAGGCAGCAGUGGGGAAUAUUGCACAAUGGGCGCAAGCCUGAUGCAGCGACGCCGCGUGAGGGAUGGAGGCCUUCGGGUUGUGAACCUCUUUCGCCCGUGGUCAAGCCGCGACGUGGGUCGUGGUGAGGGUAGUGGGUAAAGAAGCGCCGGCUAACUACGUG
rnacentral:rRNA from 1 species